GCCCCUGUAGCUCAGUGGAUAGAGCGCCGCCGUCCUAAGGCGGGCGUCGUCGGUUCGAUUCCGGCCGGGGGCACCA
rnacentral:tRNA from 1 species